UGCCAAUCUAUCACCUUUAUCACCUAGCAACUCUUGCUACAAUAAAACAGAACAUAUGGUAAUAUUGGAUAAACUAAACAUAACAUGGAAAAAUGCUAAGCACUCUAAUGGUACUUACCAUAGCUAAUUGAGAUAUGAUGGUUUUAUAACCCCAUUCUUUAUUCCAUAAAUUUGUGUGGCAACUGACUACAAAGUUGGACAUCCAGCCAUCUGGUUUGAAGCAUUCCACAAACAUGUUGUAACACCCUAGGUGUUAAGCAUGCACUUAGUCUUAUUAAAACAUUCAUAAGCAUUCUCAUCAAGCAUAGCAUCACAUAAGCAUGUCAUCCAUCUAAAUAUGAUUUUAUGUACUUUAUUCCAUGUGACUUAAAUGUGUUAAAAAAAUGAUGCUUGCUUCUAAAAUUGUGAAAAAUUCAAACUAGGUUGAAUUGUGCGCAAAAAGAUUUAAGAGUAUUUUUGUGCAAUUUUUGGAGCCAUAGAAUUUGAGAAAUGGAAUUUAUACAAAAAUCUCCAAAAUGAAUUUAUUUGAAAACCUAGAACUAGUUUUAAUUUGUAAUUCAAAUUCUAUUUGGAAUUUGAUCUUGCUUAUUAAAACAAAGUUGUAGGGUUUUUGUUUUGGAACAACUUUGCUUUUAGGAGAAAUGGGUGAAACUGAUUUUUAAAUGGUCCAAAUGAAUUUAGAAAGAAUUUGGGGAAAAUAAAUUUAAAAAAAAGGAAAGGGGGCUGUUCACUGGCGGGCCGGCGCCAACCAACCGGCCCAGCCAGCCCAGCCAGCCCGCGCCGCAUCCACCUCCCUCCCUGCGUGCUCGGACACGGCCGCGCCGCGCGCGCCCGACCGUGUCUGGCCGACGGCGCCGCGUGGACGGCAUGCGCUGCUCGCCGGCGCCACGACCCCCCCUCCGCUGUGGACAGCGCCACCUCCACCGCCAUUCUCGCCUCCACCCGGUGCGCGCUCUCUCGCCCUCUCUCGCGCUUUCUCGCCUCCGCUCCGCGCGCGCAGCUCCACCGCCCGCCAUCGGAGCUCCCCGAGCUCCGUUCACCUUGUUCCCGGCACUCCGUCGCCUUCCAACGCCUCCUUCCACCUCUCCGAGCUCCGCAGUCGUCUUCGCGUGCUCGGACGUGACUUCUUCGCGCAGGUGAGCGGUCCUAGGGGGCCGAAUCGCUCGCCGGAGAGUGCGCGGCCUCGCCGGAGCUCUCCGCGACGUCGGCAUCCCUGGCUUUCUCUCUCUCCGCCCUCUCAUGCCUCGCUAGCGCGCGCAUCAUGGUCGCCGUGACUCCAUGAGUCGCGAGGAGUCGCACUGGAGCGCUCUUACCGGAGUAUGGUGGCCGGCACCGCUGCGGCAGCACCGCCGGUCCGCCAUUGCCGGUGGCCAGCUCGCUGUGCGAGGUUCCAUGGCGAGUGGUGGGGUGGGAUUGAGUCGCAAGAGGGAGGCGAACGUGUUGGUGCCGUUGGUUUCGGCCGAGAGGCAUCAUCGGCGGCGAGCCGUCGCCGGGGAUCUUCUCCCCUCUCUGCGUCCUGGCCAGCGGGCCCGGCUGGCAGGCGGGUCCGCUCGUCAGCGACCACGGGUGCACUGCACCGGGUGCACCUAGCCGGUCCCGGGGUGGAUUUGAUUUGUUUUUUAGAAAAAUAAUUUCCAGAAAAUGGUUUAAAUGUUCUAAAAUCCAUAUCUUGAGAAUUAUAGCUCCAAAAUUAGUGAAAUAAAUUUUGGUGUGCUCUCUGUUCUCAGAUCUACAGUUUGAUGUAAUUGCAUGUCUUGAUUGAACACUUUUUCUGAACAGAAAUAAUUAAUCCAUGUUUAUGCUGAAAUGGGAAAAUGCAUAGUAAUUAAAAUAUGAUUAAGAAAAAUGUGAAACUUGUUUUUCUAGCUCUGCAUGUAUGUUUAGUCACUGGGAAAAUUCUGCAACACAUUAUUUGGUAUAUGAAUGAAUUUUUAGUGAUUUAAAUGCUUGCAUAGCAGUGGUUUAUGAUUUUUAAUAAAUAUUUGGAUCAUGUAAUUAAUCUGGAAAUUUUUGUGGGUGUUUCUAAUGAUAUUUGGCAAAUUAUAAAAAUAUAAAAUCUGCUGUUUGACACUUAUACCACAGUAGAGUAAUUGUACUUGCCUUUAUUAAUUCAUCUUGCGAUUUUUUUAGCUCAGAAUAAGUGUCCAAAAAUUAUGAAAAAUUUAUGGUGGACUUUAUGCUUGACUGGUAGUCUCCUGUAAUUUUUGUGGAAUUUAUUGAUAAACAGAACUGCAUGCUAUUUUGAUGGGCCUAGAAAUGAAUAAAGAAAUUAUGAAUUGUUUUAUGUAGAUUAAGUAGAAUAAAAGGGGAUUUGGUGUAUCUUUGAAGCAUUUUGUGAGUUGCUGGUUACACUUGAAAAUAAUUUUGUAGGAAAGAAGAAAAUGGAUGCUUAGUGUAAUUACAUGUUCUUGGAUGAUGUUGACUACCUUAUAAAGAGCAUGACCAAUUAAAUCACCUAUGCAUCAUGUCAUGGUCAUUUGGUACCUUCUCAUACAAGCAUCCACUCGGACAUCUCGCACUCCACUCAUGAGCACACAUGCAUCAUACAGGCUCGCAGGAGAACGAGGUGGGGCCCGAGGAGCAGGAGGAGACCCAGGAGCAGGAACCUCUAGGAGUGUCAGAGCUCGAAGAGGAGCUGCAAGAGUGCCCGGAUCAUAAGCCGAGCACUGUGGGGGUAUAAACCCCUAUACCCUCAUGGUCCUAUAUGGGCCGCACCAUCAGAGGUGGCUCGGCCCAGAGGAUGAAGACGUGCGGCGCACGACUGGUCGGCGUGCACCGCAAGACUACAAGAUAUUGUACCAAAUAGGAUAGUUUACUUGUAACUGUGUCCCUUCACGAUAUAUAAGGAGGGGCAGGGGUCCCCUAGAGGACAGGCGAUACAUCAUAUUCUCUCAACACAAAUCAAUACAACCAGACGCAGGACGUAGGUAUUACGCCAACUCGGCGGCCGAACCUGGAUAAAAAGCUUGUCCGUGUCUUGCGUCACCAUCGAGUUCGUAGUUUGCGCACCGUCUACCGAUAAACUACUACCGUGGGUAUACCCCAAGGUAGACUGCCGACCAGCUUUCGUCGACAGUGGCGCGCCAGGUAGGGGGUGUGCGUACAGCUCUCCCGACGAACAAGAUGGCCAUCAUCCCCGACUUCGCGGCCAUGGCGGGCGACUUCACGUUCACCGUCAGCCUCAACAACUUCACCGCCAUGACCACGGAGGAGGUGUAGAUCCGAUCUGCGCCAACCACUUCUUCAUCGACGUCGGCGGCGGCUUCAACCACGCUGGCUACGACUUCGACCACACCCGCAGCGUCUCCGACCACGCCGACAACGCGUCGCACUCUUCCUUACUACAAAGGGAGGCAGAUCGACAACACCGACCUGCUCGGGCCAUCGACCAAGUUGUUUGGCCUACUUGCUCUGACCACCAGUCGCAAUAAUAAUCGCCGCGAAGAACGGCGCUACGACAACCGCGACCACCGUCACGAUAACAAGUCCAAAAGCUCGAGGGCCAGACAAUUUUGUCGUCACCGACCCAGACUUUCAUCCAAAGAUAAGUACACUUCUAAUAUCUUAUUUAUUUUUGGCAUAAUAUUUUUAAUAUUAUUAUUCUUCAAAACAACUUUUUUAGCCGACUAGUUUUUUCUCCUACACGAGCUUUCCAGAGCCGGUACUGUCUCCGACUCCUCCCUACACGUGCACGAGAUCCGCCCUCUGCGUUCCGGGUGGUCGGCAGUAGCUCUCUGACGUGGCUGACAAUCCUAUGCGUGCCUAGGUUCCGCACCUCAUGCUGAUUGUUGGCUAGACCAGAGCUGGUACAAGCUCUAGGAUGAAUUAACUACUCGUGCUAAUUUUAUAAAAAAAAAUCUAAAACUUAUCUCAGUACUGAUUUUUUAUCUAAAGUUUAUUUAUACAUCAUGUACUACCUAUUUUUUAUAUUUAUUUUUCAGGGGUUUGGCCCAGUCGACAAGCUACGCUCGGGGACUCGUCGACUAUUCCCUACGCCGUGCCCGGGGACUGCUCCGACCACCGAGCACGUUUACGUUCCCAACCACGCUCGGGGACUUGUCGACUACUCUCUAUGCUGUGCUCGAAGACUGUGCCGACCACCGAGCACGUUUACGUUCCCAACCACGCUCGGGGACUUGUCCACCGGUCCCUACGCCGUGCUCGGGGACUGUGCCGACCACCGAGCACUAUACGCUCGGGGACUGGUCGACCAGCUCACCAAUUUACGAGCUUGGGGACUGCACCGACCACCGAGCACUAUACGCUCGGGGACUGGUCGACCAGCCCACCAAUUUGAUAAUUCGGGGACUGUACCGACCACCGAGCACUACACGCUCGGGGACUGGUCGACCAGCCCACCAAUUUGAGAAUUCGGGGACUGUACCGACCACCGAGCGUUAUAUGCUCGGGGACUGGUCGAUUAGUCUAUUCAAUUGCAGACGGACUGGUAAAUUCAACUUUUUAGACCUUGCUACAAGGCUCAUACUUCGCCUUCCAGCAAGCUCGGGGACUACAUCGGUACGAUGCAUCUGGCGAUGCAUCUCAGUUUCAGAAUUUCUUUGAGGACUUUUCUUUUGACCCUGGCACCACGUGCCUACGUCACCUACUACCAGGCUCGGGGACUAAGUGGGCACACUUCACCUUGCGGUGAAUAUGCUUGCUUUUUGAAAGACUAUACUUUUCAGAAAAGUAAAGUGGGCACACUUCACCAGGAAAGAAAUCUUUUUUAAUUAAGAGCACCAUGCAUUCUUCGAACAACCUGCUUCUUCGAUAUCAAUGUUGAUCAACUGUCUUUUGAGUUGGUCAAAAUACCGUUGCAACUGUUUGGGCGACUUUCCUACUUAUUGAAGACGUCAAGCCUCACUGAUCGAAGAAGCUCAAGACGGCGUGUUACAUCACAAUACAUGGUGCUCGGGGACUAGCUGUGGGGGUAUAAACCCCUAUACCCUCAUGGUCCUAUAUGGGCCGCACCAUCAGAGGUGGCUCGGCCCACAGGAUGAAGACGUGCGGCGCACGACUGGUCGGCGUGCACCGCAAGACUACAAGAUAUUGUACCAAAUAGGAUAGUUUACUUGUAACUCUGUCCCUUCACGAUAUAUAAGGAGGGGCAGGGGUCCCCUAGAGGACAAGCGAUACAUCAUAUUCUCUCAACACAAAUCAAUACAACCAGACGCAGGACGUAGGUAUUACGCCAACUCGGCGGCCGAACCUGGAUAAAAAGCUUGUCCGUGUCUUGCGUCACCAUCGAGUUCGUAGUUUGCGCACCGUCUACCGAUAAACUACUACCGUGGGUAUACCCCAAGGUAGACUGCCGACCAGAUUUCGUCGACAAGCACGUUCGAGAAAGGCAAGCCCCGGAGCAUUCUAAGUCUCCCUAUUCUCGCUAACUUACAUGAUAUACUAUGCUUGUUCUACUAUGUUGCAUGUACGUGAUAGGAAUUGCUUGAUACCGUUGAUGCAUAUGUACUCCUUGCUAUCCCUACUCGUUUAUCUACCUUGUCCCAUGUAGAUAGGCACGGAGUCUAUGCUUAGCUUGCUUAGUCCGGUAGAAGUCGGGUGAUUUCCUGUCACCUGCGAGAUAUAGGUGGAUACCUGCUUGAUUUAAGCAGUGAUUGCUUUGGGAAAGGAUAACCAAGUGUGGAAUGGAAAUUUGAGACCGGGCAGGGUCUUAUGGUGGGUUGACUGUAGUGCCCCUGCCUGUGUCGAUUAAGGACCGAUCGUUGACGGCCCUCUUGUCAUGUUGAACGCAUGCCCCACAUUUAGCUGGAAGGAUAAGUCGUUCCGACCGCGAAGUCUGAGCACUAUCCGGGCCGGGAAUCGGCCCGAUGUACGCGCUGUAUUGGUGAUGGUUGAGGAGAACGACGAGGGCGCGGUGCGCAACCUUGGUAUACCUUGGAUACCUCGGUCGCCGGAACGGUCCUCGGGUACGGGCGGUGCCUGUCGAACCCGCGAAUUGGUCCUGGAUAGUGCAAUACGGUGAUCUGUAGCUCACUUGAUCAGUGAGUGUGGUUUGUGUGGGGAAUAAACUCGCCAGCUGGUUAGAAAUCGAUUCGAUCGCCAUCGCUCCUGGAUAGUGAGCACUUGACAUGAGCCCUGUCCUCGUAGUAAGGACUAUGGAACACUUGGGUUAUAAUGAUGAAUGGUUGCAUGAAUGCUAUGAUGAGGUACCAUCAUAUUACUAUACUUGCUUGUAAUAGUACAGGUGCAAACCUAGAUAAUAGGUAAUGACAGUACUAAACUUGAGCCAGAUAAAAGAAAAGUGGUUUCUAGACUAUGUUAGGGAAAUACGCGCGUUUAUGCAAAGGUCGUCAGCUAACCCCACUAUAUAGCCUUCAUGAUCCUUGAAGAGUCUUUACUUUAAUUUAUGAUGGGUAAGUCUAGCUGAGUACAUUCUCGUACUCAGGGUUCUAUUCCCAUGUUGUUUUGCAGAUGGUCAAAUGUACUAUGGUUAUUGCAUCCUCUGCCUGUACCCAGCUAUGGGUGAUGACUAGACCAAGGGCGAUGGUCACUCUACCUCCUCUUUUGCUUUUGUGGGAAUGACUGAAUUAUGGCACUGUAUCAGACUAAGUAUGUGUGUGUUAUUUUCAAACUAUGAAGCUUCCGCUACUUAUGAACUUGGCUUGUAAUAACUUUAAGCACUCCGAUGUAUCGUAUGAAUGUUUUCGAACAGGAUGUAACUAUGGAUGGUAACCGUUGAACUUAUUAUGAUCUUGGCUGUAUGUACGAUAUGUGGUUUGAAAUCCUUCGAGAUUUCACGGACUACCGGGAUUAUAUGGGCUUAAGCUCGAUGGUUUGACUAUGCAAGUGGUCACUAUUAGGCUUAAUCUCUUGUAAUUUGGGCGGUUCUGUUACACAUGUGGUCAUGUAAAUAGUAACCACCUAGAUUCAUUACAACCUUUUUCUUAUCUUCCUUGCCUAUCUUCAACAUAACAUGCUUGUCGUAGAAUAAAUCACUCCGUCUGCUAUAUGUUAUUAGUUCCACACGAGUCACUUGAUGCAACUUAGAUUGAAGCUGUAGGAGCGUGGCAAGGAGGACAGUACCGCAUGUUGGGAAUUCUGUCCUGAGAGGCGAUGCCGUCAUUAGGGCGAUGAUGUGGGUAGUAACACGUCGUAUGCAUGGACGGGUGUCUGUGUAUAUGGGGUGUAUAGCUUUAAAUUCUUGUUCUGCAUGAGCAUACUGUGGUUGGGCUGAAAUGAGUUUUCUGCAGGUACACUAACCACAUUCUCUCUUAGAAUGCUAGUUACGUUAUGAGAGAACGUUGUGUGCCACCGCAUAUACCGCUUAGUGUUAACUUUUGUUUCUUUGUUUGUGAGAUCGUAAGUCCGUGCAUGCAUCAUGUUCAUUUCGUAUCAUUGCUUACUUUCCCCCUUAAUUUAAUCUAUCCCAAUUCUAAAUAAAACAAUUAAAGAUAAUCCUCCAUCUUACCCAAGGUAUUCCCUUUGCAGCAGAUGGCACGCACUAGGCUCACCGCUCGCAAGUCCACUGGUGGGCGGGCCCCUCGCCAUCCGUUGGCAGCCAGGAGCUCGCGCCAUUAGAGCAAGUUCCUGGAGGAGUUCGGGAUGCCCACUUUGCUUUGGAGGGUGCUCAGUUCGAUGGGGUAUCCCGAAGGAAGGGAGCCUCGCUACUAUUGGGACAAGGAGCAGCUUGGUGACGGGACCCUGGUAGGGAUCGAGGCAGUGGUCCCUACCAGUGGAGGUGACCCCGCUUGGGGCGGCUGGGUGUACGAGUCCCGAGGUACCACACCUUUUCAUGGUGCCAGCAGGGCAGCUUUCGCAGUUCUGAGGGACCUCAUGGAGAGGUUUCCACAGGAGCUGGCCCACGCUUUCGCUGGGGUGUUUCCCUAGGGUGACCCCUACACUUCGGUGUAGGAUCAGUCCGAGGUGAAUGCUCUAGAGAGGAGUGCGGAUGAGGACCAGCACAGUGACAACACAGCUAUGAGUGCUAUGUACGCCUUGAUGAGGACCUAUGGAGGCCUAGAGCGUUGUUUGGGUCGCUUGUCCGGGUCCCUUCUCACAGUCCAGGAUGAGAAGCGUCAGCUGCAGCGUGAGUUCGACACUGAGGUAGUUGGCCCGCGUGACCCAAGAGAGGGACCAGGCGGUCCAGAAGAACAGUGAGCUGAGCCAGGACCUGCAUGCAGUGAGAGAGCAGCGGGACAGGGUGACUACUACUCACAGGAACUGCGAGCGCAUGCUAGUCCAUGUGCUUGGUCAGAGGAAUGAAGCCUGGCACGAGGAGGACACUUUGAGGGCUCGACAGCUAGAGCUUGAGCAACAGCUAGCUAAUGCUGAGGAGUACAAUGAGAACUUGCAUGAGGAGAUCCACCAGCUGCAAACCAGCUCCACCCUCACCACCUGCCUGGAGCAGCUGAGCUAGACUUUGAGGACAAGAUGGAUGAGGAUCCCGAGAUAGGAGCAGCUGCUAGUGGAGAUGAGGACGAGGAGGGCUCCGGCAUGGACAGUGACCAUAGCGAGUAGAUGCUAGGGCCCUAGAGCUAGUCCUUCUUUUGUUGUUGUUGUUGUUGUUGCAUGGCAUGUCUUGUACUUUUGGAUCUGAGCUAUGUAAAACUUUAUGAGAUGAUGCUGAAAGUCCAGUGUAUGUAUGCUGGCAAAUUUGGAUGUAUGCGAACCUUGUUGCUUGAAUGUUAAGUAAUCUGUUAGUGAUGUUGUGUGUGGAUGAUGAAUUAUUAUGCCUCUGUUUAUUGUGCGAAUUUAAUUCCCUUAGUAAUUCAGUACGGCAUAAUUUUACACAUGUCUACCGUUGAUGGCAACUCCUAACAAUUACUUAUCAUUGACGCAUGCAGAUGGUGCAAACACGUGGCGGGGGUAACAGCAACCCCGGUCUUGGAGGAGGUGCCUCCGGAGGUGGGGCUCAAUAGAACGAGGAGAGAGCACCAUCACCGCCACCACCACCGCCUCCUCCGUACACUGCGGACGUGUUUUUUGCACAGUUUCUGGGGAGUCAACGCAACAUGGAACAAAUGCAGCGCAACAUGGAAGAAGCCCUGCGUAAUAUAGCUGACAACACCCGUCGUGGGGAUAACCAGGGCGGCCGUGAAGUCAACCAGUACAGCUCUUUCAAGGACUUCAUGGAUACCAAGCCACCAGUCUUCAAGGAGUCUCUAGAACCGCUCGAAGCAGAUGAGUGGAUCAACACUAUGGAGCAGAAGUUCCGUCUUCUUCGGAUGAUAGAAGAACUCAAGGCUGAGUAUGCGGCACACCAGUUGCAAGGACCCGCUGGAAUUUGGUGGUCCUAUCAUCGUACUACCUACCCAGAGGGGACCCCAAUCACCUGGAACCGCUUCACCACCGCUUUCCGGGGAAAUUAUAUUCCUCCGGGUGUGGUGGAAAUGAAGGUUGGGGAGUUCAUGAGGCUAUCCCAGGGGACGAAAUCUGUGAAAGAAUAUCUGCACGCUUUUAACAAUCUCGCUCGCUAUGCCCCCGAGUUUGUGAACACGGAGGCCAAAAAGAUUGCUAGUUUCUAGAGAGGCUUGAAUCCGAAGAUGCUAAAGACCAUGGGUACAGAAGCCAGGGCUACCUUCAAUGCUUACAUCAGUGACUGUCUGACCUAGGAAAACAAUAACAACAACUAUAGUGCAUCCAAGUCUUGUAAGAGGGCUUUCGAAGCCGGGUCAUCCCAGUCCAGGGCACCAGUGGCAGGGCGACAGCAGUAUCGUCCUCCUGCCCCAGGUGCUAGGUUCCGACCACCGCAGUGGAGGAACACCGGGCAUCCAACGCAGCAGAAGCCGUACAAGGUGGCAAUAGCUCCUACCAAGCCAAAGGCAAUUCAAGCUGCGGCACCUGCCGCCAACAAUGCGACCAAGGGUCUGUGCUACAACUGCCACAAGAUGGGGCACUUUGCUAAGGAAUGUCCCUACCCCAAGAGGCAACAGCCAACCUAUCCAGCUCGUGUGCACCAUACCUCGAUCGAGGAGAUUCCGGAAGGAGAACCGGUAACAGCUGGUAUGUUUCCUGUCAACCAACAUCUUGCAGUUGUUUUGUUUGAUUCUGGAUCAUCGCAUUCAUUCAUGAGCCAAGCAUUUGCACAAAAGCAUGACCAACCAGUUACUGAGUUGGGUUAUGGCUAUCGCAUCAGCUCGGCCGGGGCUGAUGUGUUGACUAACAAAACAGUAACAGGAGUUACCUUGGAUAUCAGUGGCCGAAGGUUUCGUGUAAACCUUGUGGUCAUGCCAGGGCUGGUUCUAGAUGUCAUCAUUGGAAUGAAUAAGAUGACUGACUGGGGUGCAGUUAUAGAUGCCAGAAAUAGAACUCUUUCCCUCAAAGACCCGCAGGGGGAAGGUGUGCUUCAGGUCAAGCUACCCUGACGGUUAGACUUUGCUAGUCUUUCAUGUGCAGUACAGGUGGUUCCACUGGAACACAUACCCAUGGUAUGUGAGUUCCCUGAUGUUUUUCCCGAGGAAUUACCAGGACUUCCCCCAGACAGGGAGGUAGAGUUUGCAAUCGAGUUGAUACCAGGUACAACACCAAUAUCUAGAAGGCCGUAUCAGAUGCCGCCGAAUGAACUCGCGGAGUUGAAGAAUCAACUAAAGGAGUUACUGGAUAAAGGGUUCAUCCGGCCAAGCUCAUCAGAAUGGGGUUGUCCGGCGUUGUUUGUGAAAAAGAAGGAUCAAUCUUUGCACAUGUGCGUGGACUAUCGUCCGCUCAAUGCAGUGACAAUUAAGAAUAAGUAUCCUUUGCCGAGGAUUGAUAUCUUGUUUGAUCAGUUAUCCAAGGCAAAAGUGUUUUCCAAGAUAGAUUUGAGAUCUGGGUAUCACCAAAUCAAGAUUCAUCCGCAAGAUAUCCCGAAGACUGCUUUUUCCACCAGAUAUGGGUUGUAUGAGUAUCUUGUCAUGUCCUUUGGGUUGACGAAUGCUCCUGCAUACUUCAUGUAUCUGAUGAAUUCAGUCUUUAUGCCAGAGUUAGAUAAGUUUGUUGUAGUGUUUAUCGAUGACAUCCUGAUUUAUUCAGAAAAUGAGCAAGAUCACGCCGAGCAUCUGAGAAUCGUGUUAACACGAUUACGAGAGCAUCAGUUAUAUGCCAAGUUCAGCAAGUGUGAGUUCUUGUUGAAGAAAGUUCCUUUUCUAGGACACAUUUUAUCUGAAGAAGGGAUUGCUGUGGAUCAUGGAAGUCAUGGACUGGAAGGCACCAACUUCUGUCUCGGAAGUUAGAAGUUUUCUUGGUCUGGCCGGGUAUUAUUGUCGUUUCAUACCUGACUUCUCCAAGAUUGCUAAGCCGAUGACUAGUUUGCUACAAAAAGAUCAUAAGUUUGUCUGGACGGAGGGGUGUGAGCUAGCCUUCCGCACAUUGCGAAAGUUGCUAAUCACUGCUCCCGUUCUGGCGCAACCUAAUAUCGAGAAGCCUUUUGAUGUGUUUUGCGACGCGUCGAAAAGUGGCUUGGGGUGUGUGUUGAUGCAAGAUGGCAGAGUGAUAGCUUACGCUUCAUGACAGUUGAGAAAGCACGAAGGCAACUACCCAACUCACGACCUCGAGUUAGCAGCAGUAGUGCAUGCUUUGAAGAUUUGGAGACACUAUCUGCUGGGAAAUAAGUGUCAUAUCUAUACCGAUCAUAAGAGUUUGAAGUAUAUCUUCACUCAGUCUGAGCUGAAUAUGAGGCAACGAUGAUGGUUGGAGUUAAUCAAGGACUAUGACCUGGAGGUUCACUAUCAUCCAGGCAAAGCUAAUGUAGUAGCAGAUGCUUUGAGCCGUAAACCGCACUAUCAAGUGGUUCAACCGUUGUUUGAAGAUGGUUUCAAUCUCAUGCAUCCUGAAGUCUUAUGUCACAUACAGCUCAGUUGUUCACUUGAGAGUCAAGUCAUUGAAGGUCAGAAAACAGACAAGGGUAUUUUCCACAUCAAAGAGAAGAUCAAGGAUGACCCAAAAACUCAAUUUCGAGUCGAUGAGAAAGGGGUACUGUGGUUUCAACAUCGGUUAGUAGUUCCGAAGAAUCGAGAAUUGAAGGAUCGCAUUAUGGAUGAGGCCCAUCUCUCCAAGCUUUCUAUUCACCCUGGCAGUAGUAAAAUGUAUCAAGACUUAAGACCCCACUUUUGGUGGACCAAGAUGAAGAAAGAAAUAGCCGCAUAGGUGGCCUGUUGUGACACGUGUUGCAGAGUCAAGGCUAUACAUAUGAAACCUGCAGGUGUGUUACAACCGUUAUCAGUUCCAGAGUGGAAAUGGGAAGAGGUCAGUAUGGACUUUAUCACAGGUUUACUAACGACGAGGAAGGGGAAUGACUCGAUUUGGGUAAUCGUAGAUCGAUUGACUAAGUCGGCUCAUUUCAUUCCUGUGAAAACUCGUUACCGACCUCCUGAGUAUGCUGAUAUUUAUCUCGCAGAGAUCGUCAAGUUACAUGGCAUUCCCAAAACCAUCAUAUCGGAUAGAGGACCACAGUUCACCGCUCACUUUUGGGAGCGAAUGCAUAAGAGUUUGGGGACCAGUCUCAUAAGAAGCACCGCGUACCAUCCCCAGACCUCAGGUCAAACUGAGAGGCUAAAUCAAGUGUUAGAAGAUAUGCUGAGGGCCUGUGUACUAUCGUCCAAGGGAUCAUGGGAGUCAUGGUUACCUCUGGCUGAAUUCUCAUACAAUAACAGCUAUCAAGAGAGUAUCAAGAUGGCUCCGUUCGAAGCGUUGUAUGGUCGGAGAUGUAGGACUCCGUUAAAUUGGGUUGAACCCGGUGAAAGAAGAUACUAUGGUAUCGACUUCAUGAACGAAGCGGAGAAAAAGGUGCAAAUCAUACAACAGCAUAUGCAAGUGGCACAAUCACGACAAAAGAGUUAUGCUGAUAAAAGGAGGUGACUAUGUGUACCUCAAGGUUACGCCAAUGAAGAAUGUCCAACGUUUCUGAGUUUGAAGUAAACUUGCACCCAGAUAUGUGGGACCAUAUCAGAUACUAGAGAGGAAAGGCCCUGUGGCCUAUAAGAUUCAGUUACCUGAAGAGUUGAGUUCGAUCUUUCCAGUUUUCCAUGUGUCCCAACUACGGAAAUGUUUGAAAGUACCUGAGCAGAGGAUUGAACCUCGAGGAAUCAAAAUAAAAGCAGACUUGGAGUAUAAAGAGCAACCAGUGGGGAUCGUAGAUACCAAGGAACGAGUAACCCGAAACAGAGUUGUCAAAACAUACAAGGUGGUAUGGAGUCAUCAUGACGAUAGGGAUGCCACCUGGGAAACUGAGGAAUAUCUAAAAACAGUUUAUCCAAAGUUUUAUAAGAAAUGGUUAGUAACCCAAAUCUCGGGACGAGAUUUCCCUAAGGGGGGAAGGGCUGUAACACCCUAGGUGUUAAGCAUGCACUUAGUCUUAUUAAAACAUUCAUAAGCAUUCUCAUCAAGCAUAGCAUCACAUAAGCAUGUCAUCCAUCUAAAAUAUGAUUUUAUGUACUUUAUUCCAUGUGACUUAAAUGUGUUAAAAAUAUGAUGCUUGCUUCUAAAAUUGUGAAAAAUUCAAACUAGGUUGAAUUGUGUGCAAAAAGAUUUAAGAGUAUUUUUGUGCAAUUUUUGGAGCCAUAGAAUUUGAGAAAUGGAAUUUAUACAAAAAUCUCCAAAAUGAAUUUAUUUGAAAACCUAGAACUAGUUUUAAUUUGUAAUUCAAAUUCUAUUUGGAAUUUGAUCUUGCUUAUUAAAACAGAGUUGUAGGGUUUUUGUUUUGGAACAACUUUGCUUUUAGGAGAAAAGGGUGAAAGUGAUUUUUAAAUGGUCCAAAUAAAUUUAGAAAGAAUUUGGGGAAAAUAAAUUAAAAAAAAUGGAAAGGGGGCUGUUCACUGGCGGGCCGGUGCCAACCAACCGGCCCAGCCAGCGAAGCCAGCCCAGCCUGCCCGCGCCGCGUCCACCUCCCUCCCCGCGCGCUCGAACACGGCCGCGCCGCGCGCGCCCGACCGUGUCAGGCCGACGGCGCCGCGUGGACGGCAUGCACUACUCGCCGGCGCCACGACCCCCCCCCCCUCCGCUGUGGACAGCGCCACCUCCUCCGCCAUCCUCGCCUCCACCCGGUGUGCGCUCUCUUGCCCUCUCUCGCGCUUUCUCGCCUCCGCUCCGCGCGCACAGCUCCGCCGCCCGCCAUCGGAGCUCCCCGAGCCCCGUUCACCUUGUUCCCGGCACUCCGUCGCCUUCCAACGCCUCCUUCCACCUCUCCGAGCUCCGCAGUCGUCUUUGCGUGCUCGGACGUGACUUCUUCGCGCAGGUGAGCAGUCCUAGGGGGCCGAAUCGCUCGCCGGAGAGCGCGGCCUCGCCGGAGCUCUCCGCGACGUCGGCAUCCCUGGCUUUCUCUCUCUCGGCCCUCUCAUGCCUCGCUACCGCGCGCAUCAUGGUCGCCGUGACUCCCUGAGUCGCGAGGAGUCGCACUGGAGCGCUCUACCGGAGUAUGGUGGCCGGCACCGCUGCGGCAGCGCCGCCGGUCCGCCAUUGCCGGUGGCCAGCUCGCUGUGCGAGGUUCCAGGGCGAGUGGUGGGGUGGGAUCGAGUCGCAAGAGGGAGGCGAACGUGUUGGUGCCGUUGGUUUCGGCCGGGAGGCAUCACCGGCGGCGAGCCGUCGCCGGAGAUCUUCUCCCCUCUCUGCGUUAUGGCCAGCGGGCCCGGCUGGCAGGCGGGUCCGCUCGUCAGCGACCACGGGUGCACUGCACCGGGUGCACCUAGCCGGUCCCGGGGUGGAUUUGAUUUGUUUUUAAGAAAAAUGAUUUCCAGAAAAUGGUUUAAAUGUUCUAAAAAUCCAUAUCUUGAGAAUUAUAGCUCCAAAAUUAGUGAAAUAAAUUUUGGUGUGCUCUCUGUUCUCAGAUCUACAGUUUGAUGUAAUUGCAUGUCUUGAUUGAACACUUUUUCUGAACAGAAAUAAUUAAUCCAUGUUUUUGCUGAAUUGGGAAAAUGCAUAGUAAUUAAAAUAUGACUCAGAAAAAUGUGAAACUUGUUUUUCUAGCUCUGCAUGUAUGUUUAGUCACUGGGAAAAUUCUGCAACACAUUAUUUGGUAUAUGAAUGAAUUUAUAGUGAUUUAAAUGCUUGCACGGCAGUGGUUUAUGACUUUUAAUAAAUAUUUGGAUCAUGCAAUUAAUCUGGAAAUUUUUGUGCGUGUUUCUAAUGAUAUUAGGCAAAUUAUAAAAAUAUGAAAUCUGCUGUUUGACAGUUAUACCACAGUAGAGUAAUUGUACUUGCCUUUAUUUAUUCAUCUUGCAAUUUUUGUUGCUCAGAAUAAGUGUCCAAAAAUUAUGAAAAAUUUAUGGUGGACUUUAUGCUUGACUGGUAAUCUCCUGUAAUUUUUGUGGAAUUUAUUGAUAAACAGAACUACAUGCUAUUUUGAUGGGCUUAGAAAUGAAUAAAGAAAUUAUGAAUUGUUUUAUGUAGAUUAUAAGUAGAAUAAAAAGGGAUUUGGUGUAUCUUUGAAGCAUUUUGUGAGUUGCUGGUUACACUUGAAAAUAAUUCUGUAGGAAAGAAGAAAAUGGAUGCUUAGUGUAAUUACAUGUUCUUGGAUGAUGUUGACUACCUUGUAAAGAGCAUGACCAAUUAAAUCACCUAUGCAUCAUGUCAUGGUCAUUUGGUACCUUCUCAUACAAGCAUCCACUCGGACAUCUCGCACUCCACUCAUGAGCACACAUGCAUCAUACAGGCUUGCAGGAGAACGAGGUGGGGCCCGAGGAGCAGGAGGAGACCCAGGAGCAGGAACCUCUGGGAGUGUCAGAGCUCGGAGAGGAGCUGCAAGAGUGCCCGGAUCAUAAGCCGGGCACGUUCGAGAAAGGCAAGCCCCGGAGCAUUCUAAGUCUCCCUAUUCUCGCUAACUUACAUGAUAUACUAUGCUUGUUCUACUAUGUUGCAUGUACGUGAUAGGAAUUGCUUGAUACCGUUGAUGCAUAUGUACUCCUUGCUAUCCCUACUCGUUUAUCUACCUUGUCCCAUGUAGAUAGGCACGGAGUCUAUGCUUAGCUUGCUUAGUCCGGUAGAAGUCGGGUGAUUUCCUGUCACCUAUGAGAUAUAGGUGGAUACCUGCUUGAUUUAAGCAGUGAUUGCUUUGGGAAAGGAUAACCAAGUGUGGAAUGGAAAUUUGAGACCGGGCAGGGUCUUAUGGUGGGUUGACUGUAGUGCCCCUGCCUGUGUCGAUUAAGGACCGAUCGUUGAUGGCCCUCUUGUCAUGUUGAACGCAUGCCCCACAUUUAGCUGGAAGGAUAAGUCGUUCCGACCGCGAAGUCUGAGCACUAUCCGGGCCGGGAAUCGGCCCGAUGUACGCGCUUUAUUGGUGAUGGUUGAGGAGAACGAUGAGGGCGCGACGCACAACCUUGGCAUACCUUGGAUACCUCAGUCGCCGGAACGGUCCUCGGGUACGGGCGGUGCCUGUCGAACCCGCGAAUUGGUCCUGGAUAGUGCAAUACGGUGAUCUGUAGCUCACUUGAUCAGUGAGUGUGGUUUGUGUGGGGAAUAAACUCGCCAGCUGGUUAGAAAUCGAUUCGAAUCGCCAUCGCUCCUGGAUAGUGAGCACUUGACAUGAGCCCUAUCCUCGUAGUAAGGACUAGGAACACUUGGGUUAUAAUGAUGAAUGGUUGCAUGAAUGCUAUGAUGAGGUACCAUCAUAUUACUAUACUUGCUUGUAAUAGUACAUGUGCAAACCUAGAUAAUAGGUAAUGACAGUACUAAACUUGAGCCAGAUAAAAGAAAAGUGGUUUCUAGACUAUGUUAGGGAAAUACGCGCGUUUAUGCAAAGGUCGUCAGCUAACCCCACUAUAUAGCCUUCAUGAUCCUUGAAGAGUCUUUACUUUAAUUUAUGACGGGUAAGUCUAGCUGAGUACAUUCUCGUACUCAGGGUUCUAUUCCCAUGUUGUUUUGCAGAUGGUCAAAUGUACUAUGGUUAUUGCAUCCUCUGCCUGUACCCAGCUAUGGGUGAUGACUAGACCAAGGGCGAUGGUCACUCUACCUCCUCUUUUGCUUUUGUGGGAAUGACUGAAUUAUGGCACUGUAUCAGACUAAGUAUGUGUGUGUUAUUUUCGAACUAUGAAGCUUCCGCUACUUAUGAACUUGGCUUGUAAUAACUUUAAGCACUCCGAUGUAUCGUAUAAAUAUUUUCGAACUGGAUGUAACUAUGGAUGGUAACCGCUGAACUUAUUACGAUCUUGGCUGUAUGUACGAUAUGUGGUUUGAAAUCCUUCGAGAUUUCACGGACUACCGGGAUUAUAUGGGCUUAAGCUCGAUGGUUUGACUAUGCAAGUGGUCACUAUUAAGCUUAAUCUCUUAUAAUUUGGGCGGUUCUGUUACACAUGUGCUCAUGUAAAUAGUAACCACCUAGAUUCAUUACAACCUUUUUCUUAUCUUCCUUGCCUAUCUUCAACAUAACAUGCUUGUCGUAGAAUAAAUCACUCCGUCUGCUAUAUGUUAUUAGUUCCACACGAGUCACUUGAUGCAACUUAGAUUGAAGCUGUAGGAGCGUGGCAAGGGACAUGGAAACGAUCAGUAUAUCUUAUACACAAUACAAAGUACCCAAGUAUAUGUAUGCUUACAUUUGCACUUGCAUUGUCAUCGAUAUUCACAACUUGACUUAUGGUCCUAGGUUCCACAUUAAUCAUUCGACGCAAGUCAGAGUUUAGUUUGAACAAUACCUCAUUAAUAAUGGAUUUUAACUCAAUCUCAAUUUGUAGGGGCAUGAAAAGGAUCAGUAUCACAGAUACAAAGCACCAAAGUACAUAUAUGCUUACACUAGUAGUUACCUUGUUGUCGGACAUCUUCAAAUAAGACCCUCCUAGGGUUUGAGCUAAAAAGGGCAUGAUUAGUGUGUUUUAGUGUAACAACAAUUAUAGUUUGUUAAGAAUAGGCAGGCGACUGUGCCAGGGGCAGCCAGUCGACGAACGAGUGGAUGACGGGGCUUGGCGCUGGGGUCUCCUCCCAACUGGAGCUGGGGAGGGCAGUGGCGCCUUGCUCCCAAGUGCGACCUCGGUUCCUCCAGUCGUCCCGUGCGGGCUUGGGGCCGUGCGCUGAUGUCGAGCGGAGACGGAGGUCGAGACUCGGGAGGAAGACGGACGCCGAGUGCCUCGCUUUGAUCUUGGGCUGUCAAGAUUGGGCUGAAAUAAUACAUAGUGUAUGUAGCGUAGUGGGCUGACGACUAGGGCCUGGGACCUAGAGGCCUGGGCCGCAGAUCCGCCGCGGCGGUCUGCGAUGGCAUGGCCCGUUAUCAGGCUGAAUUUAGAUAGUAGUCUGCAGUUAGAAGGUACAGGGGCUCUUGCUCAAAGAAAAAAAGAAGAAGGUACAAGGGCUACCUUUUAAAACGUAAGGUUGAUUGUCCAGAUAUGAUGUUUGUAUAUUUAUACGUGCAUUUGCAUUUCAUUCAUUCAUUAAUUAACUCCAUUGUGGAAUUUUCUCCAUAGGUUUGGCACGUGUCAGAUAUUUAGAGAAAAUAUCUGAACAUGAGAUUCUCAGGAAUGUGAAGGUCAGGUUAUACUAACCACACUGGGUACGGAAAGGAACAAAACCCAACCUCGCGACAUCAGGGAACCUUAAUCUAACACACGAAAUCACUGUAGCAGCAGAUCAGGUCAUUCGCAUCAAGAAUUCAUGGCGCGAGUGAUCAUCCCUUCACAAUACACGAAAGGGGGCAGAGUAGAGGAAAGCAGGGGACAAGAAAGGGAGCACUUACCACCAUUCCCGAACCUUCAUGAAGGGGCUCUAGGGGCUACGUCUCCCUCAAUCCAGAAGCUACGGUGGCGACGGACCUGGAGGCACCAGACGGAGUGGGACGGUGCAGCCUCUCUACGCCCCCCUCGGACUACCUUUGCCACCUCUCCCCUCCCAUCGCUGUCGGCCCCUGUGUGCUGGGAGUUGGGAGGCGGUGGCUGAGGAGGAGGAGCAGGAGGCCGCGCCGGCUACAAUCUACCACCGAUAGUUUCUUUUUUUUUUCUUUUGCCAAAAUUCCAUUUUAGUUAAGAGCUUGGAUUUUUUUCCUUCUUUGUUCAUAUAUAUCCAACAACCUAGUUGAAUCUUUUAGUUAUGGUCCGAACGAGCGGACGGACCCUAAGGUCUUCCACAAAAUAUGCCUAUG
rnacentral:lncRNA from 1 species